GACGAACGCUGGCGGCGUGCCUAAUACAUGCAAGUAGAACGCUGAAGGAGGAGCUUGCUCUUCUGGAUGAGUUGCGAACGGGUGAGUAACGCGUAGGUAACCUGCCUGGUAGCGGGGGAUAACUAUUGGAAACGAUAGCUAAUACCGCAUAACAGUAGAUGUUGCAUGACAUUUGCUUAAAAGGUGCAAUUGCACCACUACCAGAUGGACCUGCGUUGUAUUAGCUAGUUGGUGGGGUAACGGCUCACCAAGGCGACGAUACAUAGCCGACCUGAGAGGGUGAUCGGCCACACUGGGACUGAGACACGGCCCAGACUCCUACGGGAGGCAGCAGUAGAGAAUCUUCGGCAAUGGACGGAAGUCUGACCGAGCAACGCCGCGUGAGUGAAGAAGGUUUUCGGAUCGUAAAGCUCUGUUGUAAGAGAAGAACGAGUGUGAGAGUGGAAAGUUCACACUGUGACGGUAUCUUACCAGAAAGAGACGGCUAACUACGUG
rnacentral:rRNA from 1 species